GAUGACGUCCGAGAAGUCCACUGAACCUUAUCAUUUAAGGAAGGAGAAGUCGUAACAAGGUUUCCGUAGGUGAACCUGCGGAAGGAUCAUUGUCGAUGCCUCGAAAUCAGAACGACCCGUGCGAACUCUGUCCAUCCCAACGUCGACUCGGGUGCGGGGGGUUUGGGGGGGGUGCCAACCCCCCCACCUCCCCCCGGCGCCGGGUCUUCGGUGCGCGAGCGCCGCCGGCUGCGGGGGACCGCGGCCGGAACGAACGAACGAACACCACACGGGGCGCGAUUGGCGCCAAGGAGAACGCGGAAAGAAGGACGCUCGCGGUGCCCCCCCUGCGGAGGUGCUGGUUGGGCGUCCGCUCGAAAUCGUAACGAAACACGACUCUCGGCAACGGAUAUCUUGGCUCUCGCAUCGAUGAAGAACGUAGCGAAAUGCGAUACUUGGUGUGAAUUGCAGAAUCCCGUGAACCAUCGAGUCUUUGAACGCAAGUUGCGCCCGAGGCCACUAGGUCGAGGGCACACCUGCCUGGGCGUCACGCCCUCCCCAUCUCUCCGCCCCCGACCCCCUCGCGCGACCCCUCGAUCGGAGGGUGCGUGGGGGGUGUCCCGCGGUGCGAGCAGGCUGGCCGCCCGUGCCUCCCGGGCGCGGUUGGCUGAAAGCCUUGGCCCGACGGCGGCGUGCGGCACGACAAGUGGUGGCUCGGCCCUCCUAGGCCACGAGUGUCUCGAUGUCGUGUUUGCGGAUUCGCCGCUCGAGGCCGCAGAGGACCCUAACCGUCCGCCUCCCCUCAGGGGAGGCGUCGCUCGGAUUGCGACCCCAGGUCAGGUGGGAUCACCCGCUGAGUUUAAGCAUAUCAAUAAGCGGA
rnacentral:sRNA from 1 species